GCCAGGCGCAGUGGAGCAUGCCUGUAGUCCCAGCUACUCAGGAGGCUAAGGCUGGAAGAUCGCUUGAGUUCAGGAGUUCUGGGCUGUAGUGCACUAUGCCCAUCAGGUGUCUGCACUAAGUUCGGUCCCGGGAAGAGGGGACCACCAGAUUGCCAAAGGAGAGGUGAACCAGCCCAGGUCAGAAAUGGAGCAGGUCAAAACUCCCGUGCUGAUCAGUAGUGGGAUCACGCCUGUGAAUAGCCACUGGACUCCAGCCUGGGCAAUAUAGCAAGACCCUGUCUCAA
ensembl:misc_RNA Metazoa_SRP Metazoan signal recognition particle RNA